AUAUCGUUAUAAAAUAUACUGGGACGUGAACGUGAAUGGGACACAUGAUAUUGCGAGUACAUACAUAUAAUAAUUUGGAGGCUUGGCAAGCAUAGCUGUACAAUAACAGCACUAGAAAAGACAUUCGAUUCGUAAACAAAGCAAAAGAUACAAUGACAUAAUUACGUACAGACGACCCAGCUAUUCAACAUGGAUACCAUAUGGACCACGAUGUCGUACACGUAUACACGGUACGUGCGAAAGUUAUCUUAGAAGGAAAUGUAUACUUGGGUUUUGCCUACGUCACUUCCGGUUACCUCGGCUUGACACUGGACGUCAACAAGCGUUACCUUAUAACAAAGCCGAUAGGUGAGGUGUGACUCAUACGUAAUCCGAUUGUAAACAAUGGUUAAAUCCUGUUGUGCCUGGGGUUGUACAAACAGACAACAGACAGGUUCAGGAUUAGGUUUCUAUAGAAUACCUACUGAUUUACAGACGAGAGCGAUGGAUACAGGCAAUUCGCCGCGAGGGUUGGACUCCAUCUCUACCUGAUCGUCUUUGCGGGGACCAUUUUAUUACAGGAAAGGCAAAUGCUGUGGACAAGGACCAUCCUGACUUUGUUCCUACAAUAUUAAAGUUCAACGAGUGAAAAGGCUCUUCAACGUUUCGAAAGAUCAACAAGCGUUAGGAAAAGACGUGAAUCUUUUGUAACCUCUGUGGAUCAUAACAAAGUUUCAGAGUCUGUUGAUAGUGGUGAUUGUGGUGACGACGAUGACGACGACGACGACGAAAACAACAAAGGGACACAGACAGAUGGAGAGAAGGAUUUACUUCAACACAAUACACAGCUCAUGGAUGAGGUCACCAGCCUACGUGAGGAGAGAUAUAGCCUCCGAGAGGAAAACCGAAAUCUUCGAUUUGGUGCACAGAAACUUGAGACUGAUGACAGAAAAACAGGCCUGCAGUCAUAUGCAUUGUUUGAGUGUUUGUUUUGGUAUGUGUCUGCGAAGAUGGAAACAGGACCUGUGGAAACAAAACUUCAAUUGAAGGAUGAAAUGUUGCUUGUGCUGAUGAAAUUGAGACUGAAAUUGUGUUUUGAGGAUCUAGCAGACAGGUUUAACAUCGCCAAAGGAACAGCAAGCAAGAUCCUUCACAAGUGGCUUCCGAUUCUCUACAGUAGACUGCAACUGCUCAGCAGGUGGCCGGACAGGGAACAACACUGAGAACAUUAACAUCCACCUUCCAGAAACACUUCAGAAAAGUCAGGUGUGUUAUUGAUUGUAGCGAGAUUUUGAUAGAACGACCUACUUCUUUCAAGGCCAGAUCACAGACCUAUUCAAACUACAAGAAGCCAACACCGUCAAGAUUCUGAUCGGAGUGAUACCAAAUGGCGUGAUAUCAUUUAUUUCGACAUGCUACGGGGGAAAGAUAUAAGACAAGAAAUAACAAAACGUUCUGGGUUUUAUGACAAGUUAGAGUAUGGAGACAUUGUGCUGGCAGACCGGGGAUUUCUGAUAGGAGAUGAACUGGCACUUCGAGGAUGUGAGCUGAUGAUUCCAUCGUUCACACGCGGGAGAAAAACAGCUUACGCAGAAGGAUGUGGAAAUGUCGCGAAGACUUUUAAGGGUCCGAAUCCACAUCGAAAGAGUGAUUGGCACCUGAAGAACAAAUACACGAUUCUCCAAGGAAUUCUCCCAAUUUGCUUGAUAAAACGUGAUGUGGACACAGAGUAUGCAACUGCGGACAAAAUUGUGACCAUUUGUGUAGCACUAACCAACUUGAGUGCGCCAGUGGUUUAAUUUAGAUAUGGACAUUAAUCUGAUAAAAAAUGAUGGACUGAGUCUGAAUGACUUGAACUGAAAUAAAUAAAAAAAUAAGUGACUCCUUUUAAUUGCAUAUAUUUAUAUAUAUGUACAGAUGUACAUUUUAAUAUCAAAACAGACAACAAAGGCAUUAUAAGCUAAUAAAGCAACUAUACAACAAGAACAG